CGUUACCACAGGGGGAGCUUCUAGCUGAGAUUGAGUCUUCGAGACUCUGACCCUUUGAACCUGUUCGUUAAAACGAGCGUAGGGAUUGUGGCGAUUGCACUUU
rnacentral:ncRNA from 2 species